GCGGCCGUGGUCUAGGGGUAGGACCAGAGCCUUCCAAGCUCUUAGCCCGGGUUCAAAUCCCGGCGGCCGCA
rnacentral:tRNA from 1 species